GGGGGCGACCUGGUUUCGACGUGGUCGGUUCUCCGGCAGAGCUGCAAGCCGAGGUCCCCGGUCGGCCUCGUAAAACAACCGGGAACCAACGUAAGUGCGGACGACAAGCUCGCACUCGCCGCCUAAUCUCGAUUAGGUGACGCGUCGCUCCGGGCUCGGCCCGUGGCCCGGGGAGCGGCGUCAACGAACGGGCUCGGCGCCGAGGGAGAGCCAAUCGCCCGAGGCGCGACACCAAAGGAUGGCUGGCCCGGCGGUGGGUCGUCCGUACACCAGCCGUCGGGCGAGACGCAAAGUGCGGACUACGCUUGUAGACGCUCGGCUCGGUGCGGCCUCGGACGCGGGUUCGAUUCCCGCCGCCUCCACCU
rnacentral:tmRNA from 1 species